CCUCCUUUCUAAGGAUGACUUAAUUUCAUUAAUUUGUAUUAAGUUGUUAAUAGACACUAGAUCGUCGUCUAUAAAUCCCUUUUUAGAGUUAUUAGGAGCCCUAAUGGGCCCGUAGCUCAGGCGGUUAGAGCGCACGCCUGAUAAGCGUGAGGUCGGUAGUUCAAGUCUACCCGGGCCCACCAAAAUGGCAUGUUUUUUGCUGUUUUUUUAUUAAGGGGGUGUAGCUCAGUUGGGAGAGCGCCUGCUUUGCAAGCAGGAGGUCAUCGGUUCGAUCCCGUUCACCUCCACCAAUCCUAGUAACAAUAUUCAAUUAUGUUUGAUAUAGUUUAAUAAACCAUCACACAGAGAAUUCUUACCAAUAAAAGAUUUAUUUCUGUACAUAUGAUAAUUCAA
rnacentral:tRNA from 1 species